ensembl:snoRNA SNORD18 Small nucleolar RNA SNORD18
CUUUAGUGAUGAGUUUCCACUUCGGUCCGUGUUUCUGAGAGCAGUGAUUAUACUAGAAGUUCUGAAGGG